CUGUAGCGACCAGAUAGUUUAGUUCGGCCUAGAAGCAUGCUUUAAAAUAUAUCUAAGCUCGGCUUAGUGUCUUAGCUAAUUACACAUAUGUUUGAUAAAUCAGCUGUAACAGAGAUGCAGUGGGAAGCUCGUUUUAGACAUCUGGUGUUAUCAUCUGUGGCGAACUUCCGACCAUACCCUAGCCUAACACUACCUAUAUUUGGUAAGGUUCUUUUCUGAUUGACAUCCGAUAUGAGCAGACGUGCCAAUUUUUCUCAACGUCAACAAAGUUUUGUUUAAAUACUAUAUAUUGAAAUCGUGGAAAAUAAUAAGAGGAAUAAGUGCAGCGAGCCUAGCUGAGUAAUAUUUUUGUGAUUAAUUUUGGAAAACUAUUGAGAUAUAUAUAUGAUAUAUAUAUUUCUCACGUGGCCAUCAAUACUGGCAUCCGUGGGAGCUCCCCUUCAAGACAGUGGGGGGCAUGAUUUAAUAUCGUGCCCCAAAUUAAAUCGGACAAGAAAAAUGAGGAGUUUCAACUGGAAUUAAAUUCAAGAAUGCGGCAUUAAAGAAGUGAUUUGGAGAGAUGUUUAACCCUCUCUACCCACGGCAGCAGCAGCAGCAGAUUUAGUAUAGCCAAAUAUGGACACAAAAGGGAAUAUAUAACCUGGAAUUGCUUUUAAGCCGCUACUGCGAUUUUUUUUUAAAGUGAAAUAUUAUAAUUAAAAAUUUGAAAGUUUUGAAACGUGCCAAAGUGAAGAAAAUUUAAUGAAUCAAAGAUAGCAACAUGCCGUAAAAAUCAAGUUUAAGUGAUAUUUUCUAAAGUCUGAAUGAUUCAGUCUAAAACGUAAUAUUUAAAUUAAAUUAAAUUUAAAACUUAAUUUUUCACGAGUGGAGUUAUUUACGCAUCGAUUUUGUUUUGGAAAAUUCGCUCAACUAUGACUUAAAAGCGAUAAAUUAAAUAUUUAUUUUUUUUUUUGUAAAUUUAAAUAUAAUUUGAAAAUAGCAACUUCUGAUAAGAAACAAUAGUGAAUAUUAAAUUUAAAAAUGUGGUCAAGUGAAGAUAUCACAGUCGGUUCUCAGUAAAAUAUGUAGGCCUAAAAGGGUUCCAAGUUAAAAGAUUUUUAUAGAAUAGUUUUGUGUUUUCGAGCCCCAAUUUCACCCUUUACAGCCACCUGCCCGGGAGAUCGAUCUUUCGCCGCUGGAACAACGUAUAAGCUGUGAGUUUAUUAUUCUCAUUAUUGCAUUUAUAUCUAUUCUAUUUAUAUCUUAUUGCGAAAUACUCUAUGAAAUAAUUUUUAACAAUCUACUUGAAUGAAACUGUGAAUUUAAAGAACCCUGAACCGAUAGCCUCACUAAACUAAAUUAAAUUAAACAAAAAGAUAUCAAACAGAAUGAAGAUGAUUUAGUGAAAUAAAAAAAUAAAUUAAAGCAAUGAAAUUUAAAUAUCUAUUGUUAU